GUCUUCAUGGUGUAAUGGCCAGUACACUCGACGUGUAUUCGAGAGGUCCGAGGUUCAAGUCCCGGAGAGGGCA
rfam:Stegodyphus mimosarum contig114002, whole genome shotgun sequence.